UAAUGAUAAUUAUAUUAAUAAUAAUAUGAUGAUAAUACUAUAUAAUGAUAAAUAUAGGUUUGAUGUAUGCGGACGCGUUGGGUUGUGGGUGUCAAUAGUGCGACCAACCCUAAGAACCAUAAGAACCAGAACGGAGUGUGGAGAGCGCGACGCUGACAGAAGCGGUACCUUCUGUUGUGCUGUCGAAGCGAGGAGGUAAGGAUGAGGUACACCAGGGACAGGAGGAACACGGAAAGGGGCCCACUUCAUACCGUUUCCGCACAACACACUCCCAUGCUUCACACAACACGCACAAAUAUGCACAUAGAUGGUCGCGUAAUGUGACGCCGACACACACCCACACAGCCUGAGCACUCGCACGCCACCCACACGUCACCCACACCUAGCGAUGCGGUGCACAGCAUCGCCACCACCUCCGUCCCCACUCGGUUCAUCGUUAAGCUGUCGCCGUGGCCCUCCGCCGCCGCCACUCCCGUCACGCGCUCCACCAUCUGCUCCGCCGCUGCCUCAUCCUUGAGCUUCCAGGACUGUUGAAUACAGGGCUUGCCACCAGCACCCGGCAAUGUGGCCAUGCGCCAGCCAGGUACCUGGUUCCGGAGCAGCUCCCGGUCUUCCCCGCUGAGCACAGUCAGGCUGGCGA
rnacentral:lncRNA from 1 species